GAACCUAUCUCCAUGCUGUGAGAAGUUUCACCUGCUUCUUUCCCUCUUCUUCUUCAGAUCAAGCUGCUGACAUAGUAGCAAGCUGGAUGCCAUAUGUCUUGGUAACAGAACCACUGAGCAUCUCUGGACAUUGGAUUGAUAGCUCCACCCCGUGAAGAUUUUCAAGCAUCUUGGUAAUGAUUACUAAGGAUGCUGGAACACCAAAUAUUGCUGUAGUCUUCAUUUGCCAGUGAGCAUGAAAAGCACUCUAAAAAUGUUUUGAAUGUCCACCAUAUUCUCUUGAGGGGAGAAUGACAGGCUUUGGAUGGACUUCAUAAAAUCCUGCUCUUACUCAAGAAUACACUUUGAAGAUUUUGCAAGAAUAUAAGAACAUGAGAUCAUGGAACAUGAGACCCAUAAGUUCUUUUAGAGUGGCCCUUCCUGUGCAUCUGGGCCGGUCUCUUCAGAGCAGCCAGCUGGCCUCUGGGUGCUCCCAAACAGGAGGGCUUCCACCUGUUGCUUGGAUACCAGGAAGAGGCAGGUAGAGCAUGUGAGCUGCCAUUGGUGGCCCCUGGGUAAAAAAGCUCCGGGCAGGCAGCCCUCUUAGCAACCUCUGUUUUUGCUUCCUCUUGGCUCAAGCCCAGGGCAGCAUCACUGGAAUCUCUGUAACAUGUCAGCCCCCAAAGCCAAUAGCAGGACAGAGAGGUAUGUUAACACCAGAAAGAGACCCCACAGAAUCCAUUACCUGCAACUGGUACUAAGGAAAGGCAAGUGAAUUUGGGAAGCUCUUCAAUCAAUCUUUAUUAUUACAGUCUCAGACCAGCAUAAGGGAAGUUGCUGUUAAGUCCUACCUCUACUUACUGGGCAGACAAAUGGAGCACCUUGGAAAAAGAUUGGUUUUGAAAGGGACAUAAAUCAUCCCACCACCAACACCACCAUCAUCUGGUAUUCAGAUGUAAACUGCAUCCAUACAAAUUCAGAAAACGCCCUUGGCUGUCGCUUGCUUCAGUGACAGCAGGUUGGGAGCACGCGAAGGAACAGAUUUGGAACAGAUCAAGCUCAACAUCCUUUUCAACCAGCUGUUUGUGGCUGCCCCCUGCUCUAUCAUUUGUUUUAAAAAAAGAACUUGCAAAGCUGCAAUUCUGGCUUUGCUUAGGCAGCAGGUUUUAGAUCGUUAGCAACGAGGGCCCUGGAGAUGGCUGGCUUCACGGACGACACUUUCAAACACAUUUACCUUUCUCUGCACACACAUGUCAGAUUAAUGAACGUCAUUGACGGGUUUCUCACACUGCCAAGCAAAGGAGAAUCACAGUUCAUCACAGAAGACGCCGGGCUGCUUAAGGGCAAAAUAAGUAUAAGAAAGAGAAAUGGAAAAAAUUAUUUGAAAGGAGGAUGAAAACCCGUCUCAGAAGAGUCCAAUUAUUCUUCAAGUUGGAAUCUACUGGACAGAUAAACAAAAGGCAUUUUGUGUUACAGAAGUGGGCAAAGACCCUACAAGUAAUUAAGCGGCAGUUGGGUGUGGCGGCAUGCAGAUGUGUAUGAGACCAGCAUGGGUUCAGAGAGAGAGAAAAUGUGAUUUGCAGGGAUCAGAUAAACAAUGCUGGAAGUUUCAGUUCUGGGUCCCAUGGACAUGGGAAGCUGAAGGCAGGACUGGAGCUGAAGCUGGAUGGAGCCCUGGAGCAGAUCCACAGAAGGGUCAGUCCUGAAGCAGAGCCUAUGCGCGUAACUAUGAGCGGGCAAGGGGAGGCAGUUGUCUGGGGGCCCCACUGCCUGGAGGGGCCCCCCAGAGGCACCUCACGUGACUGCCCAU